rfam:Drosophila virilis strain TSC#15010-1051.87 Ctg01_16347, whole genome shotgun sequence.
CCAGCAGCAAAAAGAAAGCGUUCAAAUUGCAAGCUCAUUUGAGCGCUGAUACAAUGCUGCCAGAGCAAAACGAAGCCAGGAACAGUUCAGUUUAGCGUAGUCUAUAAACUGAUCUACACGUGGCCUCACAUUU